GAUGAACGCUGGCGGCGUGCCUAAUACAUGCAAGUCGAGCGAACAGAUGAGGAGCUUGCUCCUUUGACGUUAGCGGCGGACGGGUGAGUAACACGUGGGUAACCUACCUAUAAGACUGGAAUAACUCCGGGAAACCGGGGCUAAUGCCGGAUAACAUUUAGAACCGCAUGGUUCUAAAGUGAAAGAUGGUUUUGCUAUCACUUAUAGAUGGACCCGCGCCGUAUUAGCUAGUUGGUAAGGUAACGGCUUACCAAGGCAACGAUACGUAGCCGACCUGAGAGGGUGAUCGGCCACACUGGAACUGAGACACGGUCCAGACUCCUACGGGAGGCAGCAGUAGGGAAUCUUCCGCAAUGGGCGAAAGCCUGACGGAGCAACGCCGCGUGAGUGAUGAAGGUCUUCGGAUCGUAAAACUCUGUUAUUAGGGAAGAACAAAUGUGUAAGUAACUGUGCACGUCUUGACGGUACCUAAUCAGAAAGUCACGGCUAACUACGUG
rnacentral:rRNA from 1 species